UGCACUAGGAAGGCCAGGCCAUCUCUGGGCUGAGCUUAUUUCUCCUGAGGGUCUGUAGUGGUCACAGUAUUCCAAGCAAUCAAACACCCUGUCCAGCGUGGAUACAGACUCACGCACAGACAGCUUUGGGGCACUGAUUUUGUAUGCCAGACGGGAGCAUGACGCCUCAGAUGGCUCAUCAAUUUCAGGAACUCUUCCAAAGCAUGAACCAGCAAAUUGAGAGCCAUCCCCACUGCUAUCCCCCCGCAGUAUGAACCCUCCCCGAGGGACCUUCUCUUCUUCCUCCAGGUGCUUUACCUGAACUAAAUGGUAAACAUCACUCUUAUCAUCUUGUUUUGGGGAGCCUCUGCCUCUACCACCACCUUUGUUCAGAGACCCCCUUUUUAGGCUCAUCACCUGCUCUGUCAUAUAGAAGGAAGUAAAGAUACAUUAAUACAUUAAUCAACAUUAAGUGUUUAUGAUGAAUGUGAUCAUUAUGUAUAUGUGAAAGAUACCAAU
ensembl:lincRNA